GCCCACUGACCCCCUCCAUCGUUUACCCGUAGAAUUCAAACCCUAAGCUCAUUGGUCUCCUCUCUUUCUAUAGACGUUGGGUUGGGAAUUGUUGGAGAAAACCACACGGGGUUGUAACCUCUUGCUCCGACGUGAGCUUUCUCCUCAGCUGGAACCCCCUCCCCAGAGCGGACUCAUGGCCCCAUUAAAAGGGUUUGGGGUGGGGGUGGGGGGUGUCCAAGUAGACUCAGAGAGUUUGUAACUUGUACCUUUGCCACUGUUUGCAAGGCCUCGUCCUCGGUGGUCCAGGGGUGACCUUCUUUUCUUCGGAGUUCUCUAUAUUCUGUGGGAUUUAGCAUGGACAAAAUUCCUCAGAUGGAUCUUGGGAUCAUGGAUCACUUUGAACCUUAUAAAUCUUUAAGUCCAAUAAAUCCAAAAUUCCAUAAAUCUUAAACCUCUCACAUGGGAAUAUACCCAAGUAUAUGCCAGUUGAAAGGACACUAGGACAUGUUUUGGGCUAAAGAGAAUGUUAGACACCCUUAAGGCGUGAAUUACUACCACAAAACUGACGUCUAAAGGAAAAACAGGCCAAGUUGGAAAGAACUACCGACAGAUCUGUGCCCCGGAAGCCAUGGGGCUGGUGUAAGGCCUCCCUGUGUCUCCCGCGGCGGCCCCCACCUUCACACCGUGCACUGAGCUGAGAGCUGGGGGGUGGCCCCGGGCCCACCAUUGCAAAGGCAAGGGGCCCCCGAGUCCAGUGGAGAAUCACUUGGAAGGUGCGGCGGAAAGUCGGGGCAUCUCCAGGUGUUAGCCGGCCGCCUGCGUCGGACCAGCGCCUGGGACGCAGGGCGAGAGCAAGGAACGAGACCGGCCACACCAGAAGAAUGGGUUCACUUAAAAGUAAAAUCCCCUGCUGUGAUCCACGCUCUCUCCCUUUAUAAAGAAAGGGGAUGAAACUGAGGGACAGGAAGCGACUUGCCCCGGGUCCUGCAGGAAGUAGGCGGCUAACGUGGAUCAAGAGGUAGGUCUCUCCCAUUCUCCAUGCUUUCUCCACCACUAGAGCGGUUCCAGUGCUAAAUUCCUUCAUAUUUUGUUUUGUUUUCUACUAAGGCGAUUAGCUGAGUAUCUGGUGUGCAAAAUUAGGGAAAUUUGAGGGCUUCUAAAUGAAAGUAAACAAGGAUUAAACAAAUCAGAUAAUUUAAAAGAAAUCCAGAUGGUAAUUAAAAGGAUUAAUCCUGGUGUUUCUAAAUGACAAACA
rnacentral:lncRNA from 12 species